AUUUGAUGAUUUGGGUACCGCAUAAGCUUCUUCUUUAACCUUUCCCAAGCCUCGUAGAGAGCUUCAGUUGGAAGCUGUAUAAAAUUGCUUAUCUCAUCUCUCAAUUU
rfam:Capsicum annuum cultivar Zunla-1 unplaced genomic scaffold scaffold742, whole genome shotgun sequence